rnacentral:ncRNA from 2 species
ACUUAUCUUCAGGGAUAGGUGAAAUUCCUUACCGGCGGUAGACAGCAUGGUAUUUGCUGUGAGCCCGCGAGCCUUUUUGGCAGAUCCGGUCAAAGUCCGGAGCCGACAGUGAAAUGUAUUAAUAUGUUUUGUUAUUAAUACAUUGAGUCUGGAUGGGAGAAGAUAAAG